UUUGUCCCCAUUGUGUCCCAUUGUGUGCCCUAUUGUGUCCUAUAGUGUCCAUUGUGUCCCCAUUGUGCCCCAUUGUGUCCCAUUGUGCCCCAUUGCGCCCCAUUGUGUCCCAUUGUGUCCUAUUGUGUCCCAUUGCGCCCCACUGCGCCCCAUUGUGUCCCUUUGUCCCCAUUGUAUCCCAUUGUGUCCUAUUGUGUCCCCAUAGUGCCCCAUAGUGCCCCAUUGUGUCCCACUGUGUCACCAUUGUGUCCCACUGUGCCCCACUGCGUCCCUUUGUCCCCACUGUGUCCCAUUGUGUGCCCUAUUGUGUCCUAUAGUGCCCUAUUGUGUCCUAUAGGGCCCCAUUGCGCCCCAUUGCGUCCCAUUGUGUCCCAUUGUGCCCCACUGUGCCCCACUGUGCCCCAUAGCGCCCCACUGCGCCCCACUGCGCCCCAUUGUGUCCCUUUGUCCCCAUUGUGUCCCAUUGUGUGCCCUAUUGUGUCCUAUAGUGUCCCAUUGUGUCCCAUUGUGCCCCAUUGCGCCCCACUGCGCCCCAUUGUGUCCCUUUGUCCCCAUUGUGCCCCAUUGUGUCCCAUAGUGCCCCAUUGUGUCCCCAUUGUGCCCCAUUGUGUCCCACUGUGUCCCAUUGUGCUCCAUUGUGUCCCACUGUGUCCCAUUGUGUCCCAUUGUGUCCCAUUGUGCCCCCAUUGCACCCAUUGUGCCCCAUUGUGCCCCAUUGUGUCC
rnacentral:lncRNA from 1 species